AAUUUUGGACAAUGGAGGCAAUCGUGAUCCAGCCAUGCCGCGUGUGUGAAGAAGGUCUUGGGAUUGUAAAGCCCUUUAAGUUGGGAGGAAGGGCUUUAGCCUAAUACCCUACAGUUUUGACGUUACCAACUGAAUAUGAACCGGCUAACUAUGUGCCUGCAGCCGCGGUAAUACCGAGGGUGCAAGCGUUAAUCGGAAUUACUGGGCGUAAAGCGCGCGUAGGUGGUUCAGUAAGAUGGGUGUGAAAUCCCCGGGAUUAACCUGGGAACUGCUUUCAUAACUGCUGAGCUAGAGUACGGUAGAGGGUAGUGGAAUUUCCUGUGUAGCGGUGAAAUGCGUAGAUAUAGGAAGGAACACCAGUGGCGAAGGCGACUACCUGGACUGAUACUGACACUGAGGUGCGAAAGCGUGGGGAGCAAAC
rnacentral:rRNA from 1 species